rnacentral:rRNA from 1 species
UACGGAGGGUGCGAGCGUUACCCGGAUUUACUGGGCGUAAAGGGCGUGUAGGCGGUUUUCUAAGUCCGGGGAUAAAGACCAGGGCUCAACCCUGGGUUUGCCUUGGAUACUGGUAAGCUCGACGGCCGGAGGGGGCAGCGGAAGUUCCGGAGUAGCGGUGAAAUGCGCAGAUACCGGAAGGAACGCCAAUAGCGAAGGCAGCUGCCUGGACAGUACGUGACGCUGAGGCGCGAAAGCGUGGGGAGCAAACCGG